rnacentral:rRNA from 1 species
GACGAACGCUGGCGGCGUGCUUAACACAUGCAAGUCGAACGGAAAGGCCCUGCUUUUGUGGGGUGCUCGAGUUGCGAACGGGUGAGUUACACGUGAGUAACCUGCCCUUGACUUUGGUAUCACUUCAUGAAACUGGGGCUAAUACCGGCUAGGAGCUCCUGCUGCAUGGUGGGGGUUGGAAAGUUUCGGCGGUUGGGGAUGGACUCGCGGCUUAUCAGCUUGUUGGUGGGGUAGUGGCUUACCAAGGCUUUGACGGGUAGCCGGCCUGAGAGGGUGACCGGCCACAUUGGGACUGAGAUACGGCCCAGACUACUACGGGAGGCAGCAGUGGGGAAUAUUGCACAAUGGGCGGAAGCCUGAUGCAGCAACGCCGCGUGCGGGAUGACGGCCUGCGGGUUGUAAACCGCUUUCGCCUGUGACGAAGCGUGAGUGACGGUAAUGGGUAAAGAAGCACCGGCUAACUACGUG